rnacentral:rRNA from 1 species
GUGGGGAAUCUUCCGCAAUGGACGAAAGUCUGACGGAGCAACGCCGCGUGAGUGAAGAAGGUUUUCGGAUCGUAAAGCUCUUUCGUUAGGGACGAACGUGCUCUUUGUGAAUAAUGAGGAGUAAUGACGGUACCUAAAUAAGAAGCCACGGCUAACUACGUGCCAGCAGCCGCGGUAAUACGUAGGUGGCAAGCGUUGUCCGGAAUUAUUGGGCGUAAAGCGCGAGCAGGCGGGAUAUCAAGUCUGUCUUAAAAGUGCGAGGCUCAACCUCGUGAGGGGACAGAAACUGGUAUUCUUGAGUGUCGGAGAGGAAAGUGGAAUUCCAAGUGUAGCGGUGAAAUGCGUAGAGAUUUGGAAGAACACCAGUGGCGAAGGCGACUUUCUGGACGAUGUCUGACGCUGAGGCGCGAAAGCUAGGGGAGCGAACGGGAUUAGAUACCCUAGUAGUCC